CUACGGGGCGCUCCAGUAGGGAAUAUUGCACAAUGGGCGAAAGCCUGAUGCAGCGACGCCGCGUGGAGGAUGAAGGUUUUCGGAUUGUAAACUCCUGUUAAGUGGGAAGAAAGGCUUAUAGUUAAUACCUAUGAGAGAUGACGGUACCACUAGAGAAAGCUCCGGCUAACUUCGUGCCAGCAGCCGCGGUAAUACGAAGGGAGCUAGCGUUAUUCGGAAUUACUGGGCGUAAAGAGCGUGUAGGCGGUUGAUUAAGUUAGUUGUUAAAUUCCUUGGCUUAACCGAGGAUCAGCGAUUAAUACUGGCCGACUAGAGGGCGAGAGAGAAAAGUGGAAUUCUCGGAGUAGCGGUAAGAUGCAUAGAUCUCGAGAGGAACACCGGUUGCGAAGGCGGCUUUUUGGCUCGCAUCUGACGCUAAAGCGCGAAAGCGUGGGGAGCAAACAGGAUUAGAUACCCUCGUAGUC
rnacentral:rRNA from 1 species